rnacentral:rRNA from 1 species
UGGUCAAGUUAUUAAGGGUGCAGGGCGGAUGCCUUGGCACUAGGAGCCGAUGAAGGACGUGAUAAGCUGCGAUAAGCUUCGGGGAGUUGCACGUAAACUUUGAUCCGAAGAUUUCCGAAUGAGGAAACUCACUUAGAGUAAUGUCUAAGUAUCAUUAAGUGAAUACAUAGCUUAAUGAGGGGAACUCAGGGAACUGAAACAUCUAAGUACCUGAAGGAAGAGAAAGAAAUUCGAUUCCGUAAGUAGCGGCGAGCGAACGCGGAUUAGCCCAAACCAAUAAAGUUUUCUUUAUUGGGGUUGCGGACAUAUCAUAACGAAGAGGUAUCGUAAUUGAAGAGGUUUGGAAAGACCCACCACAGAAGGUAAUAGUCCUGUAUGUUAAACGAGAAGACUUCAGAUAUGAUCCAGAGUACCACGGGACACGUGAAACCCUGUGGGAAGCAGGAGGGACCACCCUCCAAGGCUAAAUACUACCUAGUGACCGAUAGCGUAUAGUACCGUGAGGGAAAGGUGAAAAGAACCCCGGGAGGGGAGUGAAAUAGAACCUGAAACCCUGCACUUACAAGCUGUGGAAGCACAUUUCUUGUGUGACCGCGUACUUUUUGUAGAACGGGCCAACGAGUUACGUUAAGUAGCAAGGUUAAGCACUUAAGGUGCGGAGCCGUAGCGAAAGCGAGUUUUAACUGAGCGUUCAGUUACUUGACGUAGACCCGAAACCGGGCGACCUACCCAUGAGCAGGAUGAAGCGAAAGUAAAAUUUCGUGGAGGUCCGAACCCACGAGCGUUGAAAAGCUCGGGGAUGACUUGUGGGUAGCGGUGAAAUUCCAAUCGAGCCCGGAGAUAGCUGGUUCUCCCCGAAAUAGCUUUAGGGCUAGCCUCAAGGUGAGAGAUACGGAGGUAGAGCACUGAAUGUCCUAGGGGGUAUUGCACCUACCGAAGACUAUCAAACUCCGAAUGCCGUCAUCUUAUACUUGGGAGUCAGACUGUGGGUGAUAAGAUUCAUAGUCGAAAGGGCAACAGCCCAGAUCGUCAGCUAAGGUCCCUAAAUGUAAGUUAAGUGGUAAAGGAUGUGGGAUUGCACAGACAACCAGGAUGUUGGCUUAGAAGCAGCCACUCAUUCAAAGAGUGCGUAAUAGCUCACUGGUCGAGUGAUCCUGCGCCGAAGAUUUCCGGGGCUAAAACUUACUACCGAAGCUACGGCAUCAGUAAUGAUGGGUAGGGGAGCUUCCCAUACGGGUUGAAGCAUGACCGUAAGGACAUGUGGACAGUAUGGGAGUGAGAAUGUUGGCAUGAGUAGCGAGAUGUGGGUGAGAAUCCCACAGGCCGUAAACCCAAGGUUUCCAGGGGAAGGUUCGUCCGCCCUGGGUUAGUCGGGACCUAAGCUGAGGCCGAAAGGCGUAGGUGAUGGACAACAGGUUGAUAUUCCUGUACUACCGAUAACCGUUUGAGAGAAGGGAUGACACAGUAGGAUAAGCUAAGCACACUGUUGGUUAUGUGUGCCCAAGCAUUGAGGCAGUCAAAGU